CACGUGAGUAACCUGCCCUGGACUCUGGGAUAAGCGUUGGAAACGACGUCUAAUACCGGAUAGGACCUCGGAUCGCAUGAUCUGGGGUGGAAAGUUUUUCGGUCUGGGAUGGACUCGCGGCCUAUCAGCUUGUUGGUGAGGUAAUGGCUCACCAAGGCGUCGACGGGUAGCCGGCCUGAGAGGGUGACCGGCCACACUGGGACUGAGACACGGCCCAGACUCCUACGGGAGGCAGCAGUGGGGAAUAUUGCACAAUGGGCGCAAGCCUGAUGCAGCAACGCCGCGUGCGGGAUGACGGCCUUCGGGUUGUAAACCGCUUUUAGUAGGGAAGAAGGGCUUCGGCUUGACGGUACCUGCAGAAAAAGGACCGGCUAACUACGUGCCAGCAGCCGCGGUAAUACGUAGGGUCCGAGCGUUGUCCGGAAUUAUUGGGCGUAAAGAGCUCGUAGGCGGUUUGUCGCGUCUGCUGUGAAAACUAGAGGCUCAACCUCUAGCCUGCAGUGGGUACGGGCAGACUUGAGUGCGGUAGGGGAGAAUGGAAUUCCUGGUGUAGCGGUGGAAUGCGCAGAUAUCAGGAGGAACACCGAUGGCGAAGGCAGUUCUCUGGGCCGUAACUGACGCUGAGGAGCGAAAGCGUGGGGAGCGAACAGGAUUAGAUACCCUGGUAGUCCACGCCGUAAACGUUGGGCGCUAGAUGUGGGGACCUUUCCACGGUUUCCGUGUCGUAGCUAACGCAUUAAGCGCCCCGCCUGGGGAGUACGGCCGCAAGGCUAAAACUCAAAGGAAUUGACGGGGGCCCGCACAAGCGGCGGAGCAUGCGGAUUAAUUCGAUGCAACGCGAAGAACCUUACCAAGGCUUGACAUACACGAGAACGGGCCAGAAAUGGUCAACUCUUUGGACACUCGUGAACAGGUGGUGCAUGGUUGUCGUCAGCUCGUGUCGUGAGAUGUUGGGUUAAGUCCCGCAACGAGCGCAACCCUCGUCGCAUGUUGCCAGCACGUAAUGGUGGGAACUCAUGUGAGACUGCCGGGGUCAACUCGGAGGAAGGUGGGGAUGACGUCAAAUCAUCAUGCCCCUUAUGUCUUGGGCUUCACGCAUGCUACAAUGGCCGGUACAAAGGGCUGCGAUGUCGUAAGGCGGAGCGAAUCCCAAAAAGCCGGUCUCAGUUCGGAUUGAGGUCUGCAACUCGACCUCAUGAAGUCGGAGUCGCUAGUAAUCGCAGAUCAGCAACGCUGCGGUGAAUACGUUCCCGGGCCUUGUACACACCGCCCGUCAAGUCAUGAAAGUC
rnacentral:rRNA from 1 species